rnacentral:lncRNA from 1 species
AAGAGACAAGUCUAGUUUCAGAAAAAGACAAAGGUUGGUGUUGCUCCCAUUAAUUUUGUAAAACAAGAAAAAGAUAGAGAUAUAGUUAAUGGCUAAUAAUCUAAAUAUAUAACUCACUGCUUGAGAAAGUGGAUGAAGUAAGAUAACUUGGGUGGGCUAUUUGGUAUAUAACUUAAAAUUUAAUUAAUGGGCCUUUUGAUCCACCCAUUUUGUUUUUCUUUUGUAACUCCCACUUACACUGUUCAGUCAACAAAUAAAAACAAAUUUGUGGUAUCUUUCAAUCUUGUUGUGGGAUUUUCGCAUUUCGAUGUAUUCGAUGGUGGCCAAAACUAAGAUUAAAUGGUAAAAAGAUUUUUUCCUUAAUUUUUAAAAAGAUUUGAUUAUAUUUUCUGAUUUGAAAACUUUUACUAUAUCUAUAACUUCAAAAAACCGCAAAUUCUUACAAGCCUCAUAUAUCUUAUCCUAUUCCGACAAGUACCUAAACAACAUUACUACAAAUUAUACAUUUCACACUAUAGAGUUCAAAUAUGUGAACUUGGGCCAAGUCAUUUGAUUGAGGAAAUAUAUAAUAUGAUCCACAAGAUCCUUGAAUAUACUCUUGAGUAAAAAAACAAAAGAAUAUUCGAGACCUCUUAUCAAGAAUCCUAUCCUAAAGAAAGCACAUCCACUUAUGUUUCCAUCACUAGAUUUCAAGUGGGUCAUCAUCAUCUUUUACUUCAAGAUAUUGUUUAGUCUAAACCUCUCAAACCUCCUUAAUCGUGUGAUCUAAUCUAUCUUAUGUGUUUCUUCAACUUGUAAAUUUUCAUAUUUGUUGAGUCACAUUGUCCUAUUUUCUUUAAUGUUCAUAUGCAAUUCAAAUUUCAAGAGAUAUUAUAGAACAUUACAUAUUUAUUUCAUCAGAUAGUUGAGAAUCCGAUAGAAAAUGUCUCGCAAACCGGAAAACAAACGUUAAAUCCGGAAAUUAAAACUUUAGAUAAAAAUUAAAAAGAAAAAAGGAAAAAGCAGAAAUUGAUAUAAAAUCAAAGGUGGAGGAGGGGAUGAGAUAAAGUUUUUGAUAUGUUUUACAAGAAACAAAGCAAAGCAAAGAGAGAGAUUAAGCAUCGGUGAAGCGAGGGGGCUUGUAGGCAAUGAAACUGAUGCACUGCACUUGACGGGUGUUGUCGAAUCCGAUGAUCCUGAUGAAGGCUUCAGGGUACUCCUUCUUGCACUCGUUAACUUCCUUCAACACUUGUGCUGAGUCAGUGCAUCCGAACAAGGGUAGCUUCCACAUUGUCCAGUACCUUCCAUCGUAGUAUCCGGGGGUGUUACCGUGCUCACGGUGCACAAACCCGUUCUAUAAUAUAAAAAAAAACCAAACCACACAUGUUACGACCACAACAACAACAACAACAACAAAAGUCCAAGAUCUAAGCUAGUUUAUGUUUUUUUCUUACCUCCAACUCGAAUUCAACACAGGGAAUCCACUUGUUGCGGAGGAGGUAGUCAACUUCCUUUCCCAACUCGACCUCGGAAAGGUCAGGAAGGUAAGAGAGAGUCUCGAACUUCUUCUUUCCGAUCGGAGGCCACACCUUUGAGAUUCAGACAAAACAACAUAUGAGUUCAUGUAAUUCGAACGAAAAAAGAAGAAGAAGAAAAAAGAUGUAUGACCUUCAUGCAGCUAACUCUUCCGCCGUUGCUUGUGAUGGAAGUAAUGUCGUUGUUGGCCUUGCGGGUGGAAGGGAAAGCAGCGGAGGACUUAAGUCCGGUGAAAGGAGCGACCAUAGUGGCCUGAGCCGGGGAGGCAACCAUUGUAGCGGAAGAGAGCAUAGAGGAAGCCAUUGUGUUCUUUCUCUUUUACUCUUUUGUGUGACUGAGGUUCUGUCUAGUGCUUUGGUCAUCUAUAUAUAAUGAUAAUAACAAUGAUAACAAUCACUUGAGUGAUCGUAGGGUCGAGGAAUCAUGAGGCUUGAGUGGGAAAGGAUUUAGACCGUUGGAUGAUGAGUGUGUGGAUAUGUGUGUGUGUGUGAGGUUUUAAGUCACUUGGUAACGGCCACAGAAGCCUAAGGUAAGGUCCUGAGAGACCCUUAUCGGUUUGUAACGCUAGAACAGUGCCACGUGGAAGAUAAAUCUUAUCGUUAUCUAUGAGUG